rfam:Oryza meridionalis cultivar OR44 (W2112) chromosome 2, whole genome shotgun sequence.
CCUAAGCGUAGCCAUGAGUUUCCGUGUCCAACUUUUAUCAUCCAUCUUAUUUAAAAAAAUUUUAUGAUUAGUAUUUUUAUUGUUAUUGGAUUAUAAAAAAAUAAAUAAGACGAACGAUUAAAGUUAUACGCGGAAAUAAAUGGUUACGUUUAUU